rnacentral:rRNA from 1 species
CAGUCGCCACGGUAAUACGUAGGGUGCGAGCGUUAAUCGGAAUUACUGGGCGUAAAGCGUGCGCAGGCGGUUGUGUAAGACAGGUGUGAAAUCCCCGGGCUUAACCUGGGAACUGCGCUUGUGACUGCACAGCUAGAGUAUGGCAGAGGGGGGUGGAAUUCCACGUGUAGCAGUGAAAUGCGUAGAGAUGUGGAGGAACACCGAUGGCGAAGGCAGCCCCCUGGGCCAAUACUGACGCUCAUGCACGAAAGCGUGGGGAGCAAACAGGAUUAGAUACCCGGGUAGUCCCUGUCUCUUAUAC